rnacentral:rRNA from 1 species
AGUGAACGCUGGCGGCAGGCCUAACACAUGCAAGUCGAACGGCAGCAUCAAGAGAGCUUGCUCUCUUGGAUGGCGAGUGGCGGACGGGUGAGGAAUACAUCGGAAUCUGCCUAUUUGUGGGGGAUAACCUCGGGAAACCGGGACUAAUACCGCAUACGACCUACGGGUGAAAGCGGAGGACCUUCGGGCUUCGCGCAGAUAGAUGAGCCGAUGUCGGAUUAGCUAGUUGGCGGGGUAAUGGCCCACCAAGGCGACGAUCCGUAGCUGGUCUGAGAGGAUGAUCAGCCACACUGGAACUGAGACACGGUCCAGACUCCUACGGGAGGCAGCAGUGGGGAAUAUUGGACAAUGGGCGCAAGCCUGAUCCAGCCAUGCCGCGUGGGUGAAGAAGGCCUUCGGGUUGUAAAGCCCUUUUGUUGGGAAAGAAAAGCAGCCGGUUAAUACCCGGUUGUCAUGACGGUACCCAAAGAAUAAGCACCGGCUAACUUCGUG